UGUCGGGCAGCUAUCGGGGUCUUGUCACUCUGACACGUGUCGUCAGCGGGCGUCGGUCCGGCGCAGACACGUGUGCUGCUGUUCUCAAGAGAUUAUUGAUCUAAUUGAACUGCUUAGCGCCGAUUCUCCAACACAUCAUGGAGUACAUGCAAGCCCUGGCAUCAAGCACACAAGGCAACAUCCUGUGCUGUAUGUGUGGCAUUGCCAUUCCUCCAAACCCAGCCAAC